rnacentral:ribozyme from 14 species
UUCGCGUACCGAAAAAAAAAAAAAGAAAAAAAAAAAGAAGCAUGAAAUGGGCAAAGAUACGGA